UACGGAGGGUGCAAGCGUUGUCCGGAAUCACUGGGCGUAAAGGGCGCGUAGGCGGCCCGGUAAGUAGGGGGUGAAAUCCUGCGGCUUAACCGCAGGGCUGCCUUCUAAACUGUCGGGCUCGAGCACGGUAGAGGCAGAUGGAAUUCCCGGUGUAGCGGUGGAAUGCGUAGAGAUCGGGAAGAACAUCAGUGGCGAAGGCGGUUCUCUGGGACGGUACUGACGCUGAGACGCGAAAGCGUGGGGAGCGAACAGG
rnacentral:rRNA from 1 species